UGGGGAAUUUUGCACAAUGGGGGAAACCCUGAUGCAGCGACGCCGCGUGAUUUAGAAGGCCUUCGGGUUGUAAAAAUCUUUUCUAUGGGAAGAAAAUGACAGUACCAUAGGAAUAAGGACCGGCUAAUUACGUGCCAGCAGCCGCGGUAAUACGUAUGGGGCGAGCGUUGUCCGGAAUUAUUGGGCGUAAAGGGUACGUAGGCGGUUUUUUAAGUCAGGUGUCAAAGCGUGGAGCUUAACUCCAUUAAGCACUUGAAACUGAAAGACUUGAGUGAAGGAGAGGAAAGUGGAAUUCCUAGUGUAGCGGUGAAAUGCGUAGAUAUUAGGAGGAAUACCGGUGGCGAAGGCGACUUUCUGGACUUUUACUGACGCUCAGGUACGAAAGCGUGGGGAGCAAACAGG
rnacentral:rRNA from 1 species